UACAGAGGGGGCAAGCGUUGUUCGGAAUUACUGGGCGUAAAGGGCGCGUAGGCGGCCUGCUAAGUCGAACGUGAAAUCCCUGGGCUCAACCCAGGAACUGCGUCCGAUACUGGUUGGCUUGAAUCCGGGAGAGGGAUGUGGAAUUCCAGGUGUAGCGGUGAAAUGCGUAGAUAUCGGGAGGAACACCAAUGGCGAAGGCAGCUCGCUGGGACGGUACUGACGCUGAGGCGCGAAAGCGUGGGGAGCAAACAGG
rnacentral:rRNA from 1 species